rnacentral:rRNA from 1 species
GAUGAACGCUAGCUACAGGCUUAACACAUGCAAGUCGAGGGGCAGCAUAAAUCUAGCAAUAGAUUUGAUGGCGACCGGCGCACGGGUGAGUAACACGUAUCCAACCUACCUAUUACUCGGGUAUAGCCUUUCGAAAGAAAGAUUAAUCCCCGAUACGAUAUUGAGUUCGCAUGAAUUUGAUAUGAAAGAUUUAUUGGUAUUAGAUGGGGAUACGUUCCAUUAGAUUGUUGGUGAGGUAACGGCUCACCUAGUCUUCGAUGGAUAGGGGUUCUGAGAGGAAGGUCCCCCACACUGGAACUGAGACACGGUCCAGACUCCUACGGGGGGCAGCAGUGAGGAAUAUUGGUCAAUGGGCGAGAGCCUGAACCAGCCAAGUAGCGUGAGGGAUGACUGCCCUAUGGGUUGUAAACCUCUUUUAUAAGGGAAUAAAACGCUCCACGAGUGGAGCUUUGCAUGUACCUUUUGAAUAAGGAUCGGCUAACUCCGUGCCAGCAGCCGCGGUAA